rnacentral:rRNA from 1 species
GAUGAACGCUGGCGGCGUGCCUAAUACAUGCAAGUCGAGCGAACAGAUGAGGAGCUUGCUCCUCUGACGUUAGCGGCGGACGGGUGAGUAACACGUGGAUAACCUACCUAUAAGACUGGGAUAACUUCGGGAAACCGGAGCUAAUACCGGAUAAUAUAUUGAGCCGCAUGGUUCAAUAGUGAAAGACGGUUUUGCUGUCACUUAUAGAUGGAUCCGCGCCGCAUUAGCUAGUUGGUAAGGUAACGGCUUACCAAGGCAACGAUGCGUAGCCGACCUGAGAGGGUGAUCGGCCACACUGGAACUGAGACACGGUCCAGACUCCUACGGGAGGCAGCAGUAGGGAAUCUUCCGCAAUGGGCGAAAGCCUGACGGAGCAACGCCGCGUGAGUGAUGAAGGUCUUCGGAUCGUAAAACUCUGUUAUUAGGGAAGAACAAAUGUGUAAGUAACUAUGCACGUCUUGACGGUACCUAAUCAGAAAGCCACGGCUAACUACGU